GUCAGCAGCCGCGGGAACGACCGGCGGCCCGAGUGGUGAUCGUGAUUAUUGGGUCUAAGGGUCCGUAGCCGGUUUGGUCAGUCUCCGGGAAAUCUGAUAGCUCAACUAUUAGGCUUUCGGGGGAUACUGCCAGACUUGGAACCGGGAGAGGUAAGAGGUACUACAGGGGUAGGAGUGAAAUCUUGUAAUCCCUGUGGGACCACCUGUGGCGAAGGCGUCUUACCAGAACGGGUUCGACGGUGAGGGACGAAAGCUGGGGGCACGAACCGGAUUAGAUACCCGGGUAGUCCCAGCCGUAAACGAUGCUCGCUAGGUGUCAGGCAUGGCGCGACCGUGUCUGGUGCCGCAGGGAAGCCGUGAAGCGAGCCACCUGGGAAGUACGGCCGCAAGGCUGAAACUUAAAGGAAUUGGCGGGGGAGCACAACAACGGGUGGAGCCCUGCGGUUUAAUUGGACUCAACGCCGGACAACUCACCGGGGGCGACAGCAAUAUGUAGGCCAAGCUGAAGACUUUGCCUGAAUCGCUGAGAAGUGGUGCAUGG
rnacentral:rRNA from 1 species